AAGAUACACGACGUCAUCGCCAGGCACCGAAGGAAGGGAGUACUCAGUUUUUGCUCCGCUUGUUGGAUGGUCGCUUGACUACCGUUUUUCUCAGGGAUCCACUUCCUCGCUCAAGAAUGUGCAGUCAUUGUCCUUUUCAGCUCACAUUCCAGCUGCUCGGUGUGGCCGCACAGUCUUCGGUCUCAGCCUACGAAGGGUCUGUGUCCCUUUUGUCAUUUUCUGUGACUGAUUGUCAUUAUUUGGCAUAUUUUUGUUACAGCGAGCCAUUUUUCUUUCCCGAAGAGAGUGUGAGUGUGUGUGUGUGUGUGUGUGUGUGUGUGUGUGUGUGUGUGUGUGUGUGUGUGUGUGUGUGUGUGUGUGUGUGUGUGUGUGUGUGUGUGUGUGUGUGUGUGUGUGUGUUUUUUGUGUAAUGUGCAUCAUACGUCACAUAUCGAUAUGUAUGUAUGUAAUAUGUACAAUUAUUGUACGUGUGUGUGUAUGUGUGUGUGUGUGUGUGUGUCAUGUGCAUAAUACGUCACAUCUCAAUACGUAUGUAUAUAACAUAGAUAUAGGUGUGAAUCACGAUUUAUAUAUGUGUGUGUGCGUGCCAUCACCACCAUUUAUAAUCUCCACUCGAGAGUUGCGAAGUCUGAAUGUAGCCUUCCCAAUUUCUGAAGCAUCUAUCUUCCCCACAUGGAACCACGAUUCAUGGCCCAAGCUGUCUCCUUAUCCAUGCUGCAUCCAACGGAGCCUUUUCUGGGACUGAAGCAUCGAGCUUCGCCACAAGUAACCAUAAUUCAUGGACCAAGCUGUCUCAUUAUCCACGCUGCAUCCAACGGAGACUUCUGUGGUACUGAAGCAUCGAUCUUCCCCACAACAAGGAAUCGCCACGAUCCAUGGACAAGCUGUCUCCUCGUCCAUUCUGCACCUCUGCCCUCCAUCCCCAAAGAGUGUGUUUCAUUCAGAGAAUGGAGCGUUCAGAUUACGACAACCUUACGGAUCAAUCGUUUUCACAAGAUGGCAGGUGAGAUUCGAAGCCCAAUUUAUUAUUUGUUGUUUAAAACAGAAUUAAAUCACUAUACAAGCAAUAAUUAUUGUAUUUUUUUUUUUUCGAACAGGUUAUCCCCAAUAAGGACAUCGUUGAUAACAGAUGUGGAAAAUGAGUUAUCUGAAUUACACGACGAGUGGAUGAAAAUGAACGACUUUCUUGAAGACAUUCAUUUGUUUCGAAAUGAACUGAACGAUAUUAUUGUUGACUAGAAAGAAUUACUCUCACGUCAUCUGACAUGGAAUGAAUAGAGUCCAAGGUGAGAAACACACGCAUAUAUGUGUGCGUAUAUGUGUUUGUGCAUGUGUAUGAGCGUGUGCACAUGUGCGUGUAUGUGUGUGCAUAUGCAUGUGUGUGUGUAAAUGUGUGUGCAUGUGUGUAAAUGUGUGUGCAUGUGUGUAUUUGUGUUUAUGCAUGUGUGUGUGUGUGUGUGUGUGUGUGUGUGUGUGUGUGUGUGUGUGUGUGUGUGUGUGUGUGUGUGUGUGUGUGUGUGUGUGUGUGUGUGUGUGUGUGUGUGUGUGUGUGUGUGUGUGUGUGUGUGUGUGAAAUGUGUGUGCAUGUGUGUAUUUGUGUUUAUGCAUGUGUGUGUGUCUCUCUGUCUCUGUCCUUGACUCAUUAUUAUUUUUAUUUUAUUUUUCAGUUCAAACGCACAACUUGAUCUUCUGGAGGAAUCUGACAUGACACUAUCUUCUGGAGGUAAAUAAAAUGUUAAAUUAAUUAUUUCAUUCAUAUUAUUAUUUCAUCAUCUUUAUAUGCUCUAAUGGGGUUCCCCUUGUUUUAAACAGAAUAUGAUGUACGAGUUUCAAAAUCACAAGACAUCUGACUGCUGGGAAAGAUCGUCCAUUCUCGCAAAUGAAUAUUUACCCAAAGAAGAAUGUUUAAUAUUUUCAAUCUUGAUUAAUUAUAUUUGCUUUGCUUUCAAUUAUCUAAUUCUUAAUUAUAAAAAAAGAAUAAAGGAAGUGCAAAGGAGGGGGGGUAGGUGCGCUCCCCCAACGACCCACCACCCCCCUCAUGCCACCCCCCUCCCCUCCC
rnacentral:lncRNA from 1 species